AUGCUGAGAAAUUUCUGGGCAGCCCUGAGUGAUCCAGGAGAUGUACUUACUCUGUUUCUACCACAGCUCCAGUUUUCUUUUGAUUCCCAUAAUAGGAAACCUGGCAAUGAUGUUUAUCUCCUGAACAAGAUGCAGCACGUGCUGGUUCAAAGAGACCAGUGUGCCUCAAGAUUAUCAUUUACGCAGUGGAUGAAGAUGGCUAUAAAAAGUAACAAUCAAGGGAUGCACAUUCCACUAAUGGAAAGUUUUGGAACAGAAGUGAACAGAAGAUAUUGCCGUGGUUUGCUCAAAAAUGAGACAGAACAUUUUCAUUACUCCUGAGGGACAUUUAUUGAGAACAUGCAAAAGCUGAGAUUGCAAAGGUGAUAAACGAGACAACUGAAGUCCCAUCUCCACAUCCUGAAGUAGAGAAGCAACCUUACAUCAUGGAUAAACUUACUCUUUUACAGAUGAUGG
rnacentral:lncRNA from 1 species